rnacentral:rRNA from 1 species
ACUCCUACGGGAGGCAGCAGUGGGGAAUAUUGCACAAUGGGCGCAAGCCUGAUGCAGCCAUGCCGCGUGUAUGAAGAAGGCCUUCGGGUUGUAAAGUACUUUCAGUAGGGAGGAAGGUAGUGUAGUUAACACCUGCACUAUUUGACGUUACCUACAGAAGAAGCACCGGCUAACUCCGUGCCAGCAGCCGCGGUAAUACGGAGGGUGCGAGCGUUAAUCGGAAUUACUGGGCGUAAAGCGCAUGCAGGCGGCCUGUUAAGUCAGAUGUGAAAGCCCGGGGCUUAACCUCGGAAUUGCAUUUGAAACUGGCAGGCUAGAGUCUUGUAGAGGGGGGUAGAAUUUCAGGUGUAGCGGUGAAAUGCGUAGAGAUCUGAAGGAAUACCAGUGGCGAAGGCGGCCCCCUGGACAAAGACUGACGCUCAGAUGCGAAAGCGUGGGGAGCAAACAGGAUUAGAUACCCUGGUAGGAUAGCG